UUAAGCGACUAAGCGUACACGGUGGAUGCCCUGGCAGUCAGAGGCGAUGAAGGACGUGCUAAUCUGCGAAAAGCGUCGGUAAGGUGAUAUGAACCGUUACAGCCGGCGAUGUCCGAAUGGGGAAACCCAGUGCAAUUCGUUGCACUAUCGUUAACUGAAUACAUAGGUUAACGAGGCGAACCGGGGGAACUGAAACAUCUAAGUACCCCGAGGAAAAGAAAUCAACCGAGAUUCCCCCAGUAGCGGCGAGCGAACGGGGAGCAGCCCAGAGUCUGAAUCAGCUUGUGUGUUAGUGGAACGGUCUGGAAAGUCCGACGGUACAGGGUGAUAGUCCCGUACACCAAAAUGCACAGGUUGUGAACUCGAAGAGUAGGGCGGGACACGUGGUAUCCUGUCUGAAUAUGGGGGGACCAUCCUCCAAGGCUAAAUACUCCUGACUGACCGAUAGUGAACCAGUACCGUGAGGGAAAGGCGAAAAGAACCCCGGCGAGGGGAGUGAAAAAGAACCUGAAACCGUGUACGUACAAGCAGUGGGAGCACCUUCGGGUGUGACUGCGUACCUUUUGUAUAAUGGGUCAGCGACUUAUAUUCUGUAGCAAGGUUAACCGUAUAGGGGAGCCGCAGGGAAACCGAGUCUUAACUGGGCGUUAAGUUGCAGGGUAUAGACCCGAAACCCGGUGAUCUAGCCAUGGGCAGGUUGAAGGUUGGGUAACACUAACUGGAGGACCGAACCGACUAAUGUUGAAAAAUUAGCGGAUGACUUGUGGCUGGGGGUGAAAGGCCAAUCAAACCGGGAGAUAGCUGGUUCUCCCCGAAAGCUAUUUAGGUAGCGCCUCGUGAAUUCAUCUUCGGGGGUAGAGCACUGUUUCGGCUAGGGGGUCAUCCCGACUUACCAACCCGAUGCAAACUACGAAUACCGAAGAAUGUUAUCACGGGAGACACACGGCGGGUGCUAACGUCCGUCGUGAAGAGGGAAACAACCCAGACCGCCAGCUAAGGUCCCAAAGUCAUGGUUAAGUGGGAAACGAUGUGGGAAGGCACAGACAGCCAGGAUGUUGGCUUAGAAGCAGCCAUCAUUUAAAGAAAGCGUAAUAGCUCACUGGUCGAGUCGGCCUGCGCGGAAGAUGUAACGGGGCUAAACCAUGCACCGAAGCUGCGGCAGCGACACUAUGUGUUGUUGGGUAGGGGAGCGUUCUGUAAGCCUGCGAAGGUGUGCUGUGAGGCAUGCUGGAGGUAUCAGAAGUGCGAAUGCUGACAUAAGUAACGAUAAAGCGGGUGAAAAGCCCGCUCGCCGGAAGACCAAGGGUUCCUGUCCAACGUUAAUCGGGGCAGGGUGAGUCGACCCCUAAGGCGAGGCCGAAAGGCGUAGUCGAUGGGAAACAGGUUAAUAUUCCUGUACUUGGUGUUACUGCGAAGGGGGGACGGAGAAGGCUAUGUUAGCCGGGCGACGGUUGUCCCGGUUUAAGCAUGUAGGCUGGUUGUCCAGGCAAAUCCGGAUAAUCAAGGCUGAGGUGUGAUGACGAGGCACUACGGUGCUGAAGUAACAAAUGCCCUGCUUCCAGGAAAAGCCUCUAAGCAUCAGGUAACAUCAAAUCGUACCCCAAACCGACACAGGUGGUCAGGUAGAGAAUACCAAGGCGCUUGAGAGAACUCGGGUGAAGGAACUAGGCAAAAUGGUGCCGUAACUUCGGGAGAAGGCACGCUGGUGUGUAGGUGAAGCCCCUGCGGGUGGAGCUGAGACCAGUCGAAGAUACCAGCUGGCUGCAACUGUUUAUUAAAAACACAGCACUGUGCAAACACGAAAGUGGACGUAUACGGUGUGACGCCUGCCCGGUGCCGGAAGGUUAAUUGAUGGGGUUAUCCGUAAGGAGAAGCUCUUGAUCGAAGCCCCGGUAAACGGCGGCCGUAACUAUAACGGUCCUAAGGUAGCGAAAUUCCUUGUCGGGUAAGUUCCGACCUGCACGAAUGGCGUAAUGAUGGCCAGGCUGUCUCCACCCGAGACUCAGUGAAAUUGAACUCGCUGUGAAGAUGCAGUGUACCCGCGGCAAGACGGAAAGACCCCGUGAACCUUUACUAUAGCUUGACACUGAACAUUGAGCCUUGAUGUGUAGGAUAGGUGGGAGGCUUUGAAGCGUGGACGCCAGUCUGCGUGGAGCCAACCUUGAAAUACCACCCUUUAAUGUUUGAUGUUCUAACGUUGGCCCCUUACCGGGGUUGCGGACAGUGUCUGGUGGGUAGUUUGACUGGGGCGGUCUCCUCCCAAAGCGUAACGGAGGAGCACGAAGGUUAGCUAAUCCUGGUCGGACAUCAGGAGGUUAGUGCAAUGGCAUAAGCUAGCUUGACUGCGAGCGUGACGGCGCGAGCAGGUGCGAAAGCAGGUCAUAGUGAUCCGGUGGUUCUGAAUGGAAGGGCCAUCGCUCAACGGAUAAAAGGUACUCCGGGGAUAACAGGCUGAUACCGCCCAAGAGUUCAUAUCGACGGCGGUGUUUGGCACCUCGAUGUCGGCUCAUCACAUCCUGGGGCUGAAGUAGGUCCCAAGGGUAUGGCUGUUCGCCAUUUAAAGUGGUACGCGAGCUGGGUUUAGAACGUCGUGAGACAGUUCGGUCCCUAUCUGCCGUGGGCGCUGGAGAAUUGAGGGGGGCUGCUCCUAGUACGAGAGGACCGGAGUGGACGCAUCACUGGUGUUCGGGUUGUCAUGCCAAUGGCACUGCCCGGUAGCUAAAUGCGGAAGAGAUAAGUGCUGAAAGCAUCUAAGCACGAAACUUGCCCCGAGAUGAGUUCUCCCUGAGACUUUAAGUCUCCUGAAGGAACGUUAAAGACGAUGACGUUGAUAGGCCGGGUGUGUAAGCGCAGCGAUGCGUUGAGCUAACCGGUACUAAUGAACCGUGAGGCUUAACCUU
rnacentral:rRNA from 1 species